GCCUUCGAGGUGUAACGGUAGUACACUCGGCGCGUAUUCGAGAGAUCCGGGUUCGAGUCCUGGUGAGAGCA
rnacentral:tRNA from 1 species